AUGGCUGAGAUGGAUCGGCGAAGGUCAAAGACUGGAGCUUUCGGGGCAUUCCAUGCUGUCAAGCAUGAUAUAGCGGUUGUAUGCUCAGCAGGAAAUUCUGGUCCUGCUGCUGGAACUGUCACAAAUGUUGCACCAUGGGUGAUAACCGUUCGAGCAAGUACUUCGGACCGAGAGUUUCAAAAUUUUGUUGAACUGCGUAAUGGGCUGCGCCUCAAGGGAAGUAGCCUUUCUGAACCUUUACCAGAUGACACACUUUAUCCACUUAUAACUGGUGCACAAGCUAAAGGGGUUAAUUCUUCUGCUGAAGAUGCUAUGCUUUGUCUUGGAGGAACCCUGGAUCCUAAGAAGGUGAAGGGCAAAAUUUUGGUCUGUCUUAGGGGUAUCACUGCAAGACUAGACAAGGGUCAACAAGCAGCUCUGGCCGGAGCAGUUGGGAUGAUUCUUUGUAAUGAUAAGGCCAGUGGUAAUGAACUCAUGGCUGAUUUUCAUGUACUACCGGCUUCAAACAUUAAUUAGGAAGAUGGGGUUGCUGUCUUUGCCUACGUAAAUUCCACAGAUGAUCCAGUGGGAUUUAUAACGGCCCCAGCAGCAGAACUAAACACAAAACCUGUUCCAUUCAUGGCAUCUUUUUCUUCGCAAGGGCCAAACGUUAUCACUCCUCAGAUCCUUAAGCCUGAUAUCACCGCUCCUGGUGUAAAUAUCAUAACUGCAUACACCCAAGCAAGAAGUCCUACAGACCGACGCUAUGAUAAGCGCAGGACUCCGUUUAUUACUGAAUCUGGUACCUCCAUGGCUUGCCCUCAUGUAGCUGGAGUUGUAGGCCUUAUGAAGACGCUCUACCCUGACUGGAGUUCAGCUGCAAUCAAAUCUGCAAUCAUGACAACUGCAAGAACGAGAGACAACACUGUGAAUCCAAUGCGGAACGGCUCAUUGAUUAAAGCAACGCCAUUCAAUUAUGGGGCUGGUCAUAUACGACCAAACCGUGCCAUGGAUCCUGGCUUGAUCUAUGACCUAUCCGUCAAUGAUUAUUUGGACUUCCUCUGUGUCAUUGGCUAUAACAAGACAAUGAUGCAAUUGUUCACUAAUGCUCCUUAUAAAUGCCCCAAGUCAGCUAGUCUAGUGGACUUAAAUUACCCUUCAAUAGCAGUCCCUGACUUGUCCGGCUCAGUCACUGUGACAAGAAGACUGAAGAAUGUCGGUUCUCCUGCAGGUGCCACAUAUGCAGUCCGUAUUCACGAACCAGUUGGGAUUUCAGUAUCGGUGGAGCCUAAUAUCUUGAAGUUCAAAAAAAUUGGUGAAGAGAAAAGCUUCAAGGUAACUUUGGAAGCUAAGAGACUUGGUGCAGCUAUGGACUAUGUGUUUGGAGGGCUUAUUUGGUCGGAUGGCAAACACUAUGUAAGGAGUCCAAUAGUAGUUUCCUCUGCUGCUGCUGCUCCCUAG